rnacentral:rRNA from 1 species
UACGUAGGGGGCUAGCGUUGUCCGGAUUUAUUGGGCGUAAAGAGCGUGUAGGCGGCCAGGUAGGUCUGCUGUGAAAACUCGAGGCUCAACCUCGAGACGUCGGCGGAAACCAUCUGGCUAGAGUCCGGAAGAGGAGAGUGGAAUUCCUGGUGUAGCGGUGAAAUGCGUAGAUAUCUGGAGGAACACCGGUGGCGAAGGCGGCAUCCUGGACCAACACUGACGCUGAGUGAGCGAAAGCCAGGGGAGCAAACGGG